rnacentral:rRNA from 1 species
AUUGAACGCUGGCGGCAUGCCUUACACAUGCAAGUCGAACGGUAACGGGCCUUCGGGUGCCGACGAGUGGCGAACGGGUGAGUAAUACAUCGGAACGUGCCCGAUCGUGGGGGAUAACGAGGCGAAAGCUUUGCUAAUACCGCAUACGAUCUACGGAUGAAAGCAGGGGACCGCAAGGCCUUGCGCGGAGGGAGCGGCCGAUGGCAGAUUAGGUAGUUGGUGGGAUAAAAGCUUACCAAGCCGACGAUCUGUAGCUGGUCUGAGAGGAUGAUCAGCCACACUGGGACUGAGACACGGCCCAGACUCCUACGGGAGGCAGCAGUGGGGAAUUUUGGACAAUGGGCGCAAGCCUGAUCCAGCCAUGCCGCGUGCAGGAUGAAGGCCUUCGGGUUGUAAACUGCUUUUGUACGGAACGAAAAGCCUUCUUUUAAUACAGGAGGGUCAUGACGGUACCGUAAGAAUAAGCACCGGCUAACUACGUG